AGCUAAUAGAUACCCUGGUAGUCCACGCCCUAAACGAUGUCUACUAGUUGUUGGUGGAGUAAAAUCCAUGAGUAAACGCAGCUAACGCGUGAAGUAGACCGCCUGGGGAGUACGGUCGCAAGAUUAAAACUCAAAGGAAUUGACGGGGGCCCGGCCACAAGCGGUGGAUUAUGUGGAUUAAUUACGAUGCAACGCGAAAACCCUUAACCUUGGCCGUUCGACAUGCCACUAACGAAGCAGAGAUGCAUUAAGGUUGCCCGUAACGGGAAAAGGUAGGCACAGGUGCUGCAUGGCUGUCGUCAGCUCGUGUCGUGAGAUGUUGGGUUAAGUUCCCGCAACGAGCGCAACCCUUGCCAUUAA
rnacentral:rRNA from 1 species